AGAUACCCUGCAUAUCAGAUAUUUAUAUUGCAGUUCAUAAUAGUAGCAAAGUUACAGUUAUGAAGUAGCAACAAAAGUAAUUUUAUGGUCUGUUGUUACCCUAACAUGAGGAACUGUAUUCAAAGGGCGCAUCAUUAGGAAGGUUGGGAACCACUGGUCUAGUUAGCACACUCAUUUGGGUGGUUUAUGUAUACCUCACCCAAAGCAUCCCUGGUUCCUCCUGCCUGCAUUUCAGUCCCUUCGGGUGUCUUGACUGAGUAGAGUGAAGGUCCUCGGAGCCUGGUCCUUUGAAGGCUGCCACCGUUUGUGAGCCUAUGUGCUAAGCCCCCAGUUAGAGAACAGUGCCUGCUCUCGCCUUCUGCUCUAAAGGUGAGAUGUGGGCAUUCAACCUCUUAAGAGCUACUUUAUGGACACUACACUGUCUAGUGAAGAAAGAAGUUCUCUUCCACAUGAACUCUGUGCUCACUGGCAUGAGCCUUGACCUCUUGCCUCACACACACCUGUGAUCUCAACAGUCUAGCAUUGAGAACCUCCAUUUGUGAGAUGGCUGUGACAAGCUACCCUUUUAAGUGAGCUCUGUGUGGGUUACUACUCCUUAUGCUGAUACUGAUUGAGCACGCAAUGCAUGCUGGAGGCUGGAGGGUUUUCACACCUUACGCCUCCUUCAGGUCCUGUCUAAACAUCCCAGGCUACUGGGUAUAAACCACCGAGAACUGGUUUACCGAGUUGCCUAGCUUAUCAGAGGCAAGGCAGUGAGUGAAAAAUUCCCAACUCCAUCCAGGUCUAGUGUUUUUCUUAGUGACCCUCUGUGUGUGGCAGAGCCCCUGUUUACAGUUGUGUGAAAUUACUGCACACAGCAGCCUAGGUGUAGCCUGUGUUUGUUUCUGUGAAAGUUCCAUGUAGGCUAAGUACCCAGUCUGCUGAAUACAGAAACCUAAGGAACAAGCUUUGUAUUGCACCACUGCCCCUUUAGGCACUGGGUGACCCUGUGGUCUGUAGUGUUGUUGGUGAAUGUGUUGUCUUCUUGCUGUAAACAAGGUCAGGCCAUCUGACACAGCUCUCAUCACCAAGCAGCGAUAUGAAGGCGGCCAGCCACUUGACAUUUUUGUCGGGUUUUUGUUGUUGCAGUUUUGAUCCCUCCGGUCCUUCCUCCCUGCAAUGGCCAUCGGUCUAGGGUAGGCACACGGAAGGAUGAGUGGACACCUAGAGAUACUGUUUGGAUUCCUGGCCCUCAGGCUCAGGAUUAACGAGGUAGCCUUCCAUCCCACUCAUCUGACGAGAGUGCUUCCUAGUGAAAACUCUGCCACAGAACAGUGCUGUGCCCAUCAGACCCGAGUCUGUGGUCUUAGUUAUCUACCCUGUAAAAAGCUAUUCGAGAGCUGGAAGCUCUCCUAGUCAUCUUCACACAGCCCUCCUCGAAAACCCAACUUGGCUUGCCAUGUCCCUGUGUGCAGCGAGGGUCCUUCCCAUGCUCAUGUUUACACACACCCCCAUCCCCUCCGAUGUUGUCAGUGUCUCAGGUCAGAACCGUCUCAGGGACACCUUUGAGGCCGAGGCCCAAAUUAGCAGUCAGCUCAGGGGCCUCCGUCAGCACGUCACUCUGGUGCUGCCCUUUGCGGCACGGAAUAAUAAGCUGGUUACUGGAUAGCUUUCGGCAAACAUUUUGAUACGAAAAGCUGUUCAUUUAUUUAUGUGUGUGUGGCUGCAUGCCACAGUGUGCAUGUGGGAGUCAGAGGACAACUUGUGAAGUUGAUUUGUUCUCUACUUCCGAUAUGUGGGUCCCAAUGCUUGAUGGAAGGCACCUUGAUCCAUGGAGUUUUCUUGCCAGUGCCACGUUUUGUCAUUGUGAGAUGACAGGUUUGUGGAUGCCUUCCCCCAGGAAGGUGAGCUACACACCUCCCUUAGUGAGGCCUAAAACAGUCUGUGUGGUCCUACAUCCAUGGGCCAUCUGUUGGCCAGCCUUUUUCUCCUGGACCUAUAUUUCCCCUGCUCUGACAACCCAUGAUUUUCUUCCUUGAGACUAAAAGUGCCUCUUUCUCCUAACUCCUUGAUUAAACUCAGUUUGUUAGUGGUUCUGGUAUCUUGUCCCCCAGGUACUGGAAUGGUUAUCCUUAACAUAGCAGAGUCAGGUAGAUGUAGCUAUCAAUGUCUGCCCGGGGUGCAUGAAAUCCUGGGUUCCAUCCUGGGCAUGGAAUACGUACCUGUAAUCCCAGUACUCGGGUGAAGGCAGGAAGACAAUGUUCAAGGCCAUACUAGGCUCAGAGCUAAAGGCUAGCCCUGGACACUUGAGAUCCUAUCUUAAAAAAAAAAAAACUAAACUAGCAUAAGCAUUUAACCCAGGCAGCGUUCAUUUGCAGUGUGCGCCAACAGCUGACUGCUGCUGUCUGAUCUGCUCACUCUAUUACUGCGAAUUGUUCCAAUUGUUCCGGCCCCUUUCCCAUACUGUUGUCUACUUUGUGCCCAAUCUAUUCUUUAUCGGCAAGUGACAAUUCAAGUCUACAAACUGUGCUUUCAUUUAGAAGCAACAUCAUGGGGGGAAGCACCCUGGAGGUGACAAUAAAACGAGAUUUUAUG
rnacentral:lncRNA from 1 species